rnacentral:rRNA from 1 species
GACGAAGGAUGCAAGCGUUAUCCGGAUUCAUUGGGUUUAAAGGGUGCGUAGGCGGACUGAUAAGUCAGUGGUUGAAAUCUCUUUGCUUAACAAAGAAACUGCCAUUGAUACUGUCGGUCUAGAGUAUAGAUGACGUUGGCGGAAUAUGACAUGUAGUGGUGAAAUACUUAGAUAUGUCAAUAGAACACCGAUUGACGAAGGCAGCUAACGAAACUAUAACUGACGCUGAGGCACGAAAGUGCGGGGAUCAAACAGG